rnacentral:rRNA from 1 species
GAGUGGCGCACGGGUGCGUAACACGUAUAGAUCUACCUCUAACUGGGGAUAGCUCACCGAAAGGUGAAUUAAUACCGCAUAAUAUUGUGAAGUAGCAUUACUUUACACUUAAACCUACGGGGGUUAGAGAUGAGCAUGCGUUCGAUUAGCUAGUUGGCGAGGUAACGGCUCACCAAGGCAACGAUCGAUAGGGGGUCUGAAGGAUGAUCCCCCACACUGGUACUGAACACGGACCAACUCCUACGGGAGGCAGCAGUAAGGAAUAUUGGACAAUGGGGGCAACCCUGAUCCAGCCAUGCCGCGUGAAGGAUUAAGGCCCUAUGGGUCGUAAACUUCUUUUAUACGGGACAAAACCCCUCUACGUGUAGAGGGUUGAUGGUACUGUAAGAAUAAGGGUCGGCUAACUUCGUGCCAGCAGCCGCGGUAAUACGAAGGACCCGAGCGUUAUCCGGAUUUAUUGGGUUUAAAGGGUGCGUAGCGGACUUUAUAAAGUCAGUGGUGAAAGCCCAGCUUAACUUGGGGAACUGCCAUUGAAAACUAUUUGGUCUUGAAGUUACAUUUGAGGCGGGCGGAAUGUGUCCUUGUAAAGGGUGAAUUUCU